rnacentral:snoRNA from 1 species
CGAAAUGAUGAAAUUUACAGACUAGAGUCACUGAAUAUUUAUGAUUAUAAUUGCUGUCCUGAACCUUG